rnacentral:rRNA from 1 species
UACGUAGGGGGCAAGCGUUGUCCGGAAUCAUUGGGCGUAAAGAGCGUGUAGGCGGCUCGAUAAGUCUGCUGUGAAAGUCCAGGGCUCAACCCUGGAAGGCUCGGUGGAAACUGUCGGGCUAGAGUCCGGAAGAGGCGAGUGGAAUUCCCGGUGUAGCGGUGAAAUGCGCAGAUAUCGGGAGGAACACCAAUGGCGAAGGCAGCUCGCUGGGACGGUACUGACGCUGAGACGCGAAAGCGUGGGAGCAACAGG